UUUUGGAUAGCUCAUGGGUAGAGCAGUCGAUUGAUAACCGACUGGUUGCGGGUUCGAUUCCCGCUCCAAAAC
rnacentral:tRNA from 1 species